rnacentral:rRNA from 1 species
GAUGAACGCUGGCGGCGUGCCUAAUACAUGCAAGUCGAGCGAACGGACGAGAAGCUUGCUUCUCUGAUGUUAGCGGCGGACGGGUGAGUAACACGUGGAUAACCUACCUAUAAGACUGGGAUAACUUCGGAAAACCGGAGCUAAUACCGGAUAAUAUUUUGAACCGCAUGGUUCAAAAGUGAAAGACGGUCUUGCUGUCACUUAUAGAUGGAUCCGCGCUGCAUUAGCUAGUUGGUAAGGUAACGGCUUACCAAGGCAACGAUGCAUAGCCGACCUGAGAGGGUGAUCGGCCACACUGGAACUGAGACACGGUCCAGACUCCUACGGGAGGCAGCAGUAGGGAAUCUUGCGCAAUGGGCGAAAGCCUGACGGAGCAACGCCGCGUGAGUGAUGAAGGUCUUCGGAUCGUAAAACUCUGUUAUUAGGGAAGAACAUAUGUGUAAGUAUCUGUGUACAUCUUGACGGUACCUAAUCAGAAAGCCACGGCUAACUACGUG